UUGCACAAGCUUCAGAUUUUUUGUUGCUUUUUUUUCUUUUUCUUUUCCUCUCUUCCUGCUUUUGUGGUUUUCUCAUUCUUCUGGGCAUGGCAGUUCCAUACUUCCAUCUGAAUGCAUGUUUCUAUAUUUUGUACUUUUCAGAUUGUCAGUUUUCAAGUUAUGACAAAGAGCAGAUUGACGAAGUAAGAACCGAUUGGGUGCGCUAUGUUGUUCAACAAUUGUAUAAUCGUUAGGUUAUGUUGAAGGAACCAACAAACAUAAGACUCUAUUGAAGUAUUGAUUAAUGUAUUCUACGACGUAGUUUAAUUUUUAGUUUUAGUUUAGAUCUAUGUAAUCGGUUUUAUUAGGGUGACAAUGUAAAAAUUCUUUUAAUUGAGGUAUGCAUAUUAAUUUUUAACUAUU